AACGAACGCUGGCGGCAUGCCUAACACAUGCAAGUCGAACGAGACCUUCGGGUCUAGUGGCGCACGGGUGCGUAACGCGUGGGAAGCUGCCCUUAGGUUCGGAAUAACUCCCCGAAAGGGGUGCUAAUACCGGAUAAUGUCUUAGGACCAAAGAUUUAUCGCCUUUGGAUGGGCCCGCGUUGGAUUAGCUAGUUGGUAGGGUAAAAGCCUACCAAGGCGACGUUCCAUAGCUGGUCGGAUAGGAGGACACGCUACACUGGGACUGAGACACGGACCAGACUCCUACGGGAGGGAGCGGUGGGGAGUAUUGUACAAGGGGCGAAAGUCUGAUACAGCAAUGCCGCGGGAGUGAUGAAGGCCUUAGGGUUGUAAAGCUCUUUUACCCGAGAUGAUAAUGACAGUACCGGGUGAAUAAGCACCGGCUAACUCCGUG
rnacentral:rRNA from 1 species